UACAGAGACUGCGAGCGUUAUUCGGAUUCACUGGGCGUAAAGGGUGCGUAGGUGGCGCCGUAAGUCAGGUGUGAAAUCUCGGGGCUCAACCCCGAAACUGCACUUGAUACUGCGGCGCUCGAGUACUGGAGAGGAGAUUGGAAUUUACGGUGUAGCAGUGAAAUGCAUAGAUAUCGUAAGGAAGACCAGUGGCGAAGGCGAAUCUCUGGACAGUUACUGACACUGAGGCACGAAGGCCAGGGGAGCAAACGGG
rnacentral:rRNA from 1 species